UGGUUCCCAGGGAGGAUGAGGUGAUUCAUCACUCACUUAGGACAAGAGCAGCCUCAUUUUCUCCCCAGCUUCAGGGGAAAUGAGCGCUCUGUUCUGUGGUUGCAAGAGGGAGGGGCCCCAGAGCCACAGCCCUGGCCCAGAUGAGCCCAGCCAUACUUGCUGAGCUGAGGCCCGCUUGAACUAUGCCCUGCUGUCUCCUUGCCCUUCUCCUGGGCACUUUCUUAGGUGUCAGUGCUCAGACCAUCCACCAAUGGCCGCCCUUCAGGGUGCUGCUUGCGGGCAGCCAGCUCUCCCUGGAGUGCACCGUGAAGGGGACAUCAAACCCUUAUCUGUAUUGGUACCAUCAGGCCAAAGGGGCCCCCCCGCAGCUGCUCUUCUACUCCCUAAGUAAGAAUCAGAUAGACUCUGAGGUACCGCAGAACUUCACAGCCUCCAGGCCCGAGGACGACCAGUUCAUCCUGAGCUCUCAGAAGCUCCUUCUCAGUGACUCAGGCUUCUACCUCUGCGCCUGGAGCCUCACACUGAGCUGGGGGAGGUAG